rnacentral:lncRNA from 1 species
UUUCCUUUGAAACAACUGCUUUAUCUUUUUUAGCUUCUACAUUUUCUUCUCCUUUUCCUUAGCGUGGCAUCUUCUGCAUUGCCUGUGAUAUAGCUGCGAAAUCUAGGAUUGCCUUUGAGAUAGGCUUGGUAAUGUGCAUCCCUGAAAUUAGGAGUCCCUUGUUUACUGUUGGCUAUCUGACAACUGGCCUCCUUUGUGUAGAGACCGACCCUUUCUCAGUUUGCUGGUUUCAUCUUGGUUCAGUACCAUCCCAUUCUUAUCUGACGAUGUGUUUUCCUUAUUUACUAUAGCAUGUCCGACAACUGACAGUCGUUCAGCAGAGACAAACCCUUCCUCAGCAUGCUGGUCUCCAUCCUGGUGCAUCACCGGCCCAUUCUCCUCUGGUACACUCAUCCCCUCUUGUGGACCCAGAUCAAUGUGAAUUUGCUUGUGACCCUGCUCAUGAUCAUCUUCCCUUUCUCCUCCCAUUUCAUGUUCCCGAUCUGGCUUAUCAUCACUGUCCCCCAGCUUGGCGUGCUCUACCUGAUAUCCCUAGAGGUUGUGGUGAACAGUUGCUCUGCUGCCCUGGUGUUGCUUUCUUUCCCCCUAUCUCACUAUCUCUUGUGCUGCCCCUCGCAAUCUGACCCAUGGCCAUC